UGGGGAAUAUUGCACAAUGGGCGCAAGCCUGAUGCAGCCAUGCCGCGUGUGUGAAGAAGGCCUUCGGGUUGUAAAGCACUUUCAGCGGGGAGGAAGGCGGUGAGGUUAAUAACCUCACCGAUUGACGUUACCCGCAGAAGAAGCACCGGCUAACUCCGUGCCAGCAGCCGCGGUAAUACGGAGGGUGCAAGCGUUAAUCGGAAUUACUGGGCGUAAAGCGCACGCAGGCGGUCUGUCAAGUCGGAUGUGAAAUCCCCGGGCUCAACCUGGGAACUGCAUUCGAAACUGGCAGGCUAGAGUCUUGUAGAGGGGGGUAGAAUUCAGGUGUAGCGGUGAAAUGCGUAGAGAUCUGGAGGAAUACCGGUGGCGAAGGCGGCCCCCUGGACAAAGACUGACGCUCAGGUGCGAAAGCGUGGGGAGCAAACAGG
rnacentral:rRNA from 1 species